AGAGAGGCUCGGUGAAAUAGACUUGUCUGUGAAGAUGCGGACUACCUGCACCAGGACAGAAAGACCCUAUGAAGCUUUACUGUAACUUGAAAUUGAAAUUGGACUUUAUUCGCGCAGUAUAGGUGGGAGGCAUUGAAAAUAAUCUUGCGGGAAUAUUGGAGCCAUCAGUGAGAUACCACUCUUGUAAUGUUAGAUUUCUAACUUUGAAUCAUUAUCUGGUCAAAGAACAGUUUCAGGCGGGCAGUUUGACUGGGGCGGUCGCCUCCCAAAGAGUAACGGAGGCGCGCGAAGGUUGGCUCAGAGCGGUCGGAAAUCG
rnacentral:rRNA from 1 species